UGUCUAUAUGCUAGUAUGACAUAUUANCNAUUUAAGUCCUUCUUAAAUGAGGCCAUUUACCCAUAGAGGGUGCCAGGCCCGUAUAACGUUAAUGAUUACUAGAAGAUAUUUCCAAAGAGUCGUGUUGCUUGAUAGUGCAGCACUAAGUGGGUGGUAAACUCCAUCUAAAACUAAAUAUAACCAUGAGACCGAUAGCAAACAAGUACCGUGAGGGAAAGUUGAAAAGAACUCUGAAUAGAGAGUUAAAUAGUACGUGAAACUGCUUAGAGGUUAAGCCCGAUGAACCUGAAUAUCCAUUAUGGAAAAUUCAUCAUUAUAAUUGUGAUAUUUUAAAAAUAUUAUGAGAAUAGUGUGCAUUUUUUCCAUAUAAGGACAUUGUAAUCUAUUAACAUAUAUAUAUUUAUCAAAAGAUCAUUUGCUUAAGUUUAUUUGAAUUAACUUGUUUACAGGUUAACAUUGAAUAAAUGCUUAUGAUUUGAUAAAGUGUUGAUAGAUUUAUUAUAUAUAGUGCUUAAAUUAUUUAUAAUUUUACAAUAAUAUUUAAAUCAUGAUUUUUAUAUUUAUUGUAUGCGCUUAUAUGAUUAACAAUGCGAAAGAUUCAGGAUACCUUCGGGACCCGUCUUGAAACACGGACCAAGGAGUCUAACAUAUGUGCAAGUAAUUGGGAAUUAAAAAACCUAAUUGCGAAAUUAACAUAACUUGUAAAUGGGAUUAAUUUUUAUAGAAAUUUAUUUUUAUAUUAAUUCAAUCCCGGGGCGUUCUAUAUAGUUAUGUAUAAUAAUAUUUAUAUUAUU
rnacentral:rRNA from 1 species